UCAAUAGGAACAACAGAAUUCCUUGGCGAUUCUAAUCCCUAUGUUGAUUUUCACUCAUAAAUUCCUUUGCUCUAGGAAACUGAUUACCAUCCUGAUCCAGCUAAAUACAGUGACUGUAUUAAACUAUGGAGAAAGAUAAGCUGCCAGACUCCUCAAUGGAUCCUCUGCAAAGCCAAAUAAUACUUCUGAACCAUCUGUGCCUUCAGCAGUGAGAAAAUACGUUCCAACUCAAAAGUCUAACCAUAAAUGGCAAAAAUUCUGAAGAAACUCUUCAGUUUCCUUGUGACCCAACACAAGAUGUUUUUAAAUGCGUUUUAAAUUUAAAAAAAGAAAAGUACCAAGCUUUUAAACUU